CAAUAAUAUUCAAUCGAUAGUCAAAGAUCAUAAUGAGCAGCAUAAAUGAUCCAAAAGAUAAGUAACUUCUAUCUGCCAUGAGUGUCAAUGAUGAUAUUAUCCACCAACGAUGAUUUGAAAUGAUUUUUCAAAACAUGCACCUCCAACUGAGCUUCUUAGUUAAUCACGAUUUUUACAAAUUACCAGCAAUAAUAUUCAAUCGAUAGUCAAAGAUCAUAAUGAGCAGCAUAAAUGAUCCAAAAGAUAAGUAACUUCUUUCUGCCAUGAGUGUCAAUGAUGAUAUUAUCCACCAACGAUGAUUUGAAAUGAUUUUUCAAAACAUGCACCUCCAACUGAGCCCAUUCAAUUCAUCAUGAUCUUUAAUAGUUGCCUGUAAAGACUUUUCAAUCGAUUUGUAAAGGCAUACUUUCGUCCAGCAUAAAUGCUCUAAAAGAUAAGUAAUUUCUAUCUGCCAUGAGUGUCAAUGAUGAUAUUAUCCACCAACGAUGAUUUGAAAUGAUUUUUCAAAACAUGCACCUCCAACUGAGCCCAUUCAAUUCCACAUGAUCUUAGAAAAUUGCCUGCAAGACUCUUUAGAAUUGGACUACAUUUUGCAUUCAGGAAUCACAAUAUUUGGCUCAUAGUUUGAAGUAUCCAAUGUAUGUGGAAAGUAAUGGUACGUACUUUGUUUCUAAACUGAGCCAAAAAUUGUCGCUCCUAAUUGCACGAUGCAGUCAUGCAUGCAUUGACAGAGGAUUAGUUUUGACCUGUGUAAAUGCUCAAAAAACAAAGUUAUUUCUCUCAGCCAUGCGUUUCAAUGAUGAUAUUAUCCACCAACGAUGAUUUGAAAUGAUUUUUCAAAACAUGCACCUCCAACUGAGCCCAAUUUAUUCAUCCCGAUCUGUAAUAGUUGCCAGCAAGACUCUUAACCCGCUCUCUGUGCCAACUGAGACCCUAACGCCCCUCCUAAAUCUGUUUUAAUCAAGUGGUUCCCCUCUCAUCUUCCAUGCCUACUGAAACACUCAAGCGAAAAAGUCCAAAACCAAGAAUAGGAUCUAAAUUUUUUUCACGAAAACUGAAGCCUUAGUUUGCAGAAACGUAAGCCGGAUUUUAACCCUGAUGUCGAGUGGAUUCUGGAAAUGUCGUGAUGAUUUUCAUUUUAAGAACUUCCAUGGCCAUCUGAAUUCUAUUCUGAUGCCUAACAUCAUAUCUGAACUUUGCGCCCACUUAUAAAAUAAACAAAAAAAAAUUUGAAACCGCUUUUGUUGUCAUAUAUAGCAAUUCCAAUAUCGUAUUUUAAGUGAACAGAGAAACCUAUUGAAAUGCAGUAUGUCCUGUGCUCUAGAUCAACUGAUCAACAAUUCAAUGGAGCCUUCUUGUAUUUCCUAAGUCAAAAAUUUGUGAAGAUGUAGGCUUCCAAAGACUACGUUUUCCACAGUCCUUUGCAAGAUUUUCAGGAGGUGCAAUUGUUGAUGUCAAAUUUGUACUCCAUUCGAGAAUGUUCCAAUAAAAUGUAAUGAAUCUUCCCCUCCACUAGAAUUGUAAAUAAGAUUAAAGAAAGGAAGCUGUAGAUUUUAAUGCUUUAUGCUCUCUGGUUUCUGUACAUUUAAGGUUAUGAUGAUUCUUAGCAUUUCAACUUCCAUGGCCAUCUGAAUUAAAUUCUGAUGUCUAAAAGCCUCUGAACCUUAAGCUUCAAAGCUAAUCGUAAUACCCAUUUUGCAAGGAAAAGAAAUGUAGAGUUGGCAGUUUCUAAUCGUGAAGAUCAUUAUUAAACUAAAAAAAAUUAAUAA